ACUUGGAUAUGGAUUCUUCACGGCAACGUAACUGAAUGUGGAGACGUCGGCGUGAGCCCUGGGAGGAGUUAUNUNUUCUUCUUAACAGCUUAUCACCCUGGAAUUGGUUUAUCCGGAGAUAGGGUNUUAUGGCUGGAAGAGUGCAUUANUUUUGAUGCAUCCGGUGCGCUUACGACGGUCCUUGAAAAUCCACAGGAAGGAAUAGUUUUCAUACAAAGUCGUACU
rnacentral:rRNA from 2 species